GACGAACGCUGGCGGCGUGCUUAACACAUGCAAGUCGAACGGAAAGGCCCUGCUUGCAGGGUACUCGAGUGGCGAACGGGUGAGUAACACGUGGGUGAUCUGCCCUGCACUUCGGGAUAAGCCUGGGAAACUGGGUCGAAUACCGGAGAGGAGCCAUUUUGAGUGUGAUGGGUGGAAAGUUUUUUCGGUGUAGGAUGAGCUCGCGGGCUAUCAGCUUGUUGGUGGGGGAAGGGCCUACCAAGGCGGCGGCGGGUAGCCGGCCUGAGAGGGUGGACGGCCACAUUGGGACUGAGAUACGGCCCAGACUCCUACGGGAGGCAGCAGUGGGGAAUAUUGCACAAUGGGCGCAAGCCUGAUGCAGCGACGCCGCGGGGGGGAUGACGGCCUUCGGGUUGGAAACUCCUUUCGCUAGGGACGAAGCUUUUUGUGACGGUACCUAGAUAAGAAGCACCGGCUAACUACGUG
rnacentral:rRNA from 1 species